rnacentral:rRNA from 1 species
CCUACGGGAUGCAGCAGUGAGGGAUAUUGGUCAAUGGGGGAAACCCUGAACCAGCAACGCCGCGUGAGGGAAGACGGUUUUCGGAUUGUCAACCUCUGUCCUCUGUGAAGAUAAUGACGGUAGCAGCGUAUGCCGCUCCGGCUAACUACGUCCCAGCAGCCGCGGUACUACGUAGGGAGCGAGCGUUGUCCGGAUUUACUGGGUGUAAAGGGUGCGUAGGCGGGCUUGCAAGUCAGAAGUGAAAUCUAUGGGCUUAACCCAUAAACUGCUUUUGAAACUGUAAGUCUUGAGUGAAGUAGAGGUAGGCGGAAUUCCCGGUGUAGCGGUGAAAUGCGUAGAGAUCGGGAGGAACACCAGUGGCGAAGGCGGCCUACUGGGCUGUAACUGACGCUGAGGCACGAAAGCGUGGGUAGCAAACAGGAUUAGAUACCCUAGUAGUC